rnacentral:rRNA from 1 species
AUUGAACGCUGGCGGCAGGCCUAACACAUGCAAGUCGAACGGAGGGGCGGACGGGUGAGUAAUGCCUAGGAAUCUGCCUGGUAGGGGGGGAUAACGUCCGAAAACGGGCGCUAAUACCGAAUACUAUCAUAUGCGCAGAGGUGGGAGUGGCGAGGGGGGGGGGGAAAGGACUACCAAGGCGACGAUCCGUAACUGGUCUGAGAGGAUGAUCAGCCACACUGGAACUGAGACACGGUCCAGACUCCUACGGGAGGCAGCAGUGGGGAAUAUUGGACAAUGGGCGAAAGCCUUAUCCAGCCAUGCCGCGUGUGUGAAGAAGGUCUUCGGAUUGUAAAGCACUUUAAGUUGGGAGGCGUUACCAACAGAAUAAGCACCGGCUAACUUCGUGCCAGCAGCCGCGGUAAUAC